UCUCCCCAUCUGUGGAGUAACCUGGGCAGAUUCUGAUGAAAACUUUCUUCCCCUACCUCUUCCCAGAAAGGGAGAUGUUUAAAACUUUCACACAGAUGAGGGAAAAUCAAAACUGAAACAAGGAAGUCCAUUUCCAGAGAAAAGGAAGCAACAAAGACAAGAACCCUGCAGUUGUGACGCCACCUGACGCCGACCCGCCGACCCACUCUGCUCUCUGCAAGGUUUCUGCUCCUGCUCGGUGUGGCCUCCACUCCCGGUCACGGCGCGUCUGCCUGGGAGGCUUCCUUCUUCGUGCUCCAGGCAGGAUGGCACUAUUCCUACAUCAAGUUAUACACACAGAAUGGACUUUCCUAAAACAUUAUUUUACCUAUUUGUUUUUAAUUUCUGUGGGAUUUUAUUCUUCUACAGAAUGGCGUUUUUAACAAGCACUGGACUGUGGGUGUGGAAGAAUAGCUUCCAGUACCUAUACUGGAUUUAUCAAAGUGCUUUCACUUUCGUGCCCUAUUGAAAUUACAUGGGGAUAGCACUAGAUUUCCAGGCAACAGAUGUGAAAUCUGAGAGUCAGGGAUGUUUGAGAUUCACUCAAGGUCACAUGUGCUAGUAAGUGCAAAUCAGUGACUCACUCUGGUUUGCCCAAGACUUUCUCGGGUUAGCACCAGAAGUCCCGCACCUCAGGAAUCUGUUCAGUACCCAGUAAAUGGGGGUGGUUGGUCAUCCUAGCAUCAGUGUCCGGUAAUCCACGUUACAGCCCUACUUUACAUAACACACUGUCGUCAUCACUUCCAAUGCCCAAGUUACUUGCAGAUCUGUGACUUGGUCUCACCAAUGACAGCUCUUCACAGAGAACUUUUGAGAGCAGUGAAUCGUUGUUAUUUGGUUUAUAUCUCUCCAAUACCUCUCAGAAGUUAACAAGCAUCAAAAUAGGUGUUCAAUAAAAGCUCAUUGAAUUCCAGACCCUUCUCUAAUCAUACUGGAGUGGCAAGUUAGGCUGCUGUGGGAAAGUUUGUUCUAAUACAUUUUUGCAAUGACUACAACAUUGAAUCCCUAAAUUUUUAAUUUUUUUAAACAAAUAAAACAAGAAUUUAUGCAGCCAAA